GCGGCAAGACGGAAAGACCCCGUGAACCUUUACUAUAGCUUGACACUGAACAUUGAGCCUUGAUGUGUAGGAUAGGUGGGAGGCUUUGAAGCGUGGACGCCAGUCUGCGUGGAGCCGACCUUGAAAUACCACCCUUUAAUGUUUGAUGUUCUAACGUGGACCCGUAAUCCGGGUUGCGGACAGUGUCUGGUGGGUAGUUUGACUGGGGCGGUCUCCUCCUAAAGAGUAACGGAGGAGCACGAAGGUUGGCUAAUCCUGGUCGGACAUCAGGAGGUUAGUGCAAUGGCAUAAGCCAGCUUGACUGCGAGCGUGACGGCGCGAGCAGGUGCGAAAGCAGGUCAUAGUGAUCCGGUGGUUCUGAAUGGAAGGGCCAUCGCUCAACGGAUAAAAGGUACUCCGGGGAUAACAGGCUGAUACCGCCCAAGAGUUCAUAUCGACGGCGGUGUUUGGCACCUCGAUGUCGGCUCAUCACAUCCUGGGGCUGAAGUAGGUCCCAAGGGUAUGGCUGUUCGCCAUUUAAAGUGGUACGCGAGCUGGGUUUAGAACGUCGUGAGACAGUUCGGUCCCUAUCUGCCGUGGGCGCUGGAGAACUGAGGGGGGCUGCUCCUAGUACGAGAGGACCGGAGUGGACGCAUCACUGGUGUUCGGGUUGUCAUGCCAAUGGCACUGCCCGGUAGCUAAAUGCGGAAGAGAUAAGUGCUGAAAGCAUCUAAGCACGAAACUUGCCCCGA
rnacentral:rRNA from 1 species